GGCACUGGGACACGGGCCAGACUCCUACGGGAGGCAGCAGUGAGGAAUAUUGCGCAAUGAGCGAAAGCUAGACGCAGCAACGCCGCGUGGGUGAUGAAGGCCUUCGGGUCGUAAAACCCUUUUCUGGGGGAAGAGUAAGGACGGUACCCCAGGAAUAAGCCUCGGCUAACUAUGUGCCAGCAGCCGCGGUAAUACAUAGGAGGCAAGCGUUAUCCGGAUUUACUGGGCGUAAAGAGCGUUGAGGCGGCUUCGUAAGUUGGACGUGAAAGCUCCCGGCUUAACUGGGAGAGGCCGUUCAAUACUGCGGGGCUUGAGGACAGCAGAGGGGGGUGGAAUUUCCGGUGUAGUGGUGAAAUGCGUAGAUAUCGGAAGGAACACCAGUGGCGAAGGCGGCCCCCUGGGCUGCUCCUGACGCUGAAGGCGAAAGCUAGGGUAGCGAACGGGAUUAGAAACCCCGGUAGUCCUAGCCGUAAACGAUGGAUACUAGGUGUAGGAGGUUAAAAUUCCUUCUGUGCCGGAGCUAACGCGUUAAGUAUCCCGCCUGGGGAGUACGGUCGCAAGGCUAAAACUCAAAGGAAUUGACGGGGGCCCGCACAAGCAGCGGAGCGUGUGGUUUAAUUCGAUGCAACGCGAAGAACCUUACCAGGGCUUGACAUGUAGGUAGCAGUGAAGCGAAAGCGGAACGAUCCUUCGGGAAGCCUACACAGGUGCUGCAUGGCUGUCGUCAGCUCGUGCCGUGAGGUGUUAGGUUAAGUCCUGUAACGAGCGCAACCCCUGCCGUUAGUUACAAGUGUCUAACGGGACUGCCCGGCGAAACUGGGAGGAAGGUGGGGAUGACGUCAAGUCAGCAUGGCCUUUAUGUCCUGGGCUACACACACGCUACAAUGGCCGGUACAAUGGGUUGCCAAGCCGCGAGGCGGAGCCAAUCCUCUAAAGCCGGUCUCAGUUCGGAUUGUAGGCUGCAACCCGCCUGCAUGAAGUUGGAGUUGCUAGUAACCGCAGGUCAGCCACACUGCGGUGAAUACGUUCCCGGGCCUUGUACACACCGCCCGUCACGUCAUGGAAGCUGGUAAC
rnacentral:rRNA from 1 species